UAGACAAGAAAUAGAUGAAUGACACAUUACAACAAGAGAGAGCUGUGUCCUUAUUAUACUACCAAUAUUUUAUUGAGAAACUUCAGUAAUGCAUAACUCGAUGACGCAUUACAAAACGAGAGAGGUGGUCUUUGAAAAAAAAAGAGAGAGGUGGUCCGAAAAUGUCUGUUGAUUCCUGCUUAAGCAGAAGAGGAAGAAGCAGCCUUGGCAGCGUGAAGUCUGGAACUAACAGCCUCCCAAGACACAAGAUUGUUCAUGAAUGUCUUUAUGUAAUC
rnacentral:lncRNA from 1 species